rnacentral:rRNA from 1 species
UCCGUAGGUGGAUAAUUAAGUCAGAGGUGAAAUCCUGCAGCUCAACUGUAGAAUUGCCUUUGAUACUGGUUAUCUUGAGUCAUUAUGAAGUGGUUAGAAUGUGUAGUGUAGCGGUGAAAUGCAUAGAUAUUACACAGAAUACCGAUUGCGAAGGCAGAUCACUAAUAAUGUACUGACACUGCUGGACGAAAGCGUGGGAAGCGAACAGGAUUAGAUACCCUGGUAGUCC